AGGUUAAGUUAAUAAGGGCGCACGGUGGAUGCCUUGGCACUAGAAGCCGAUGAAGGACGUGACUAACGACGAAAUGCUUUGGGGAGCUGUAAGUGAGCAAUGAUCCAGAGAUGUCCGAAUGGGGGAACCCGGCAGGUAAUGCCUGUCACUCAUUACUGUUAAGGUAAUGUAGAGGAAGACGCAGUGAACUGAAACAUCUAAGUAGCUGUAGGAAGAGAAAGCAAAAGCGAUUGCCUUAGUAGCGGCGAGCGAAACGGCAAGAGGGCAAACCGAAGAGUUUACUCUUCGGGGUUGUAGGACUGCAACGUGGACUUAAAGAUUAUAGAAGAACUACCUGGGAAGGUAGGCCAAAGAGAGUAAUAGCCUCGUAUUCGAAAUAGUCUUUAUACCUAGCAGUAUCCUGAGUACGGCGAGACACGAGAAAUCUCGUCGGAAUCUGGGAGGACCAUCUCCCAACCCUAAAUACUCUCUAGUGACCGAUAGUGAACCAGUACCGUGAGGGAAAGGUGAAAAGCACCCCGGGAGGGGAGUGAAAUAGAACCUGAAACCGUGUGCCUACAACAAGUUCGAGCCCGUUAAUGGGUGAGAGCGUGCCUUUUGUAGAAUGAACCGGCGAGUUACGAUAUGAUGCGAGGUUAAGUUGAAGAGACGGAGCCGUAGGGAAACCGAGUCUUAAUAGGGCGGAUUAGUAUCAUGUCGUAGACCAAACCCGAUGUGACCUACCCAUGAGCAGGUUGAAGGUGAGGUAAAACUCCCUGGAGGACCGAACCAGGGCACGUUGAAAAGUGCUUGGAUGACUUGUGGGUAGCGGAGAAAUUCCAAACGAACUUGGAGAUAGCUGGUUCUCUCCGAAAUAGCUUUAGGGCUAGCGUCGAUGUUAAGUCUCUUGGAGGUAGAGCACUGUUUGGGUGAGGGGUCCAUCCCGGAUUACAAUCUCAGAUAAACUCCGAAUGCCAAUGAGAUAUAAUCGGCAGUCAGACUGCGAGUGCUAAGAUCCGUAGUCGAAAGGGAAACAGCCCAGACCACCAGCUAAGGUCCCAAAAUAUAUGUUAAGUGGAAAAGGAUGUGGGGUUGCACAGACAACUAGGAUGUUAGCUUAGAAGCAGCUAUUCAUUCAAAGAGUGCGUAAUAGCUCACUAGUCGAGUGACCCUGCGCCGAAAAUGUACCGGGGCUAAAACAUAUUACCGAAGCUGUGGAUACCUUUAUAGGUAUGGUAGGAGAGCGUUCUAUGUGCGAAGAAGGUGUACCGUGAGGAGUGCUGGAGCGCAUAGAAGUGAGAAUGCCGGUAUGAGUAGCGAAAGACAGGUGAGAAUCCUGUCCACCGUAAGACUAAGGUUUCCAGGGGAAGGCUCGUCCGCCCUGGGUUAGUCGGGACCUAAGGAGAGACCGAAAGGUGUAUCCGAUGGACAACAGGUUGAUAUUCCUGUACUAGAGUAUAUAGUGAUGGAGGGACGCAGUAGGCUAACUAAACCAGACGAUUGGAAGUGUCUGGCCAAGCAGUGAGGUGUGAUAUGAGUCAAAUGCUUAUAUCUUUAACAUUGAGCUGUGAUGGGGAGCGAAGUUUAGUAGCGAAGUUAGUGAUGUCACACUGCCGAGAAAAGCUUCUAGCGUUAAUUAUACUCUACCCGUACCGCAAACCGACACAGGUAGUCGAGGCGAGUAGCCUCAGGUGAGCGAGAGAACUCUCGUUAAGGAACUCGGCAAAAUGGCCCCGUAACUUCGGGAGAAGGGGCGCUGACUGAUGGUCAGCCGCAGUGAAUAGGCCCAAGCAACUGUUUAUCAAAAACACAGCUCUCUGCUAAAUCGUAAGAUGAUGUAUAGGGGGUGACGCCUGCCCGGUGCUGGAAGGUUAAGAGGAGUGCUUAGCGUAAGCGAAGGCAUGAAUUGAAGCCCCAGUAAACGGCGGCCGUAACUAUAACGGUCCUAAGGUAGCGAAAUUCCUUGUCGGGUAAGUUCCGACCCGCACGAAAGGCGUAAUGAUUUGGGCACUGUCUCAACGAGAGACUCGGUGAAAUUUUAGUACCUGUGAAGAUGCAGGUUACCCGCGACAGGACGGAAAGACCCCAUGGAGCUUUACUGCAGUUUGAUAUUGAGUAUCUGUACCACAUGUACAGGAUAGGUAGGAGCCUAUGACCUCGGGACGCCAGUUUCGAGUGAGGCGUUGUUGGGAUACUACCCUUGUGUUAUGGCUACUCUAACCCAGAUAGGUUAUCCCUAUCGGAGACAGUGUCUGACGGGCAGUUUGACUGGGGCGGUCGCCUCCUAAAAGGUAACGGAGGCGCCCAAAGGUUCCCUCAGAAUGGUUGGAAAUCAUUCGCAGAGUGUAAAGGUAUAAGGGAGCUUGACUGCGAGAGCUACAACUCGAGCAGGGACGAAAGUCGGGCUUAGUGAUCCGGUGGUUCCGUAUGGAAGGGCCAUCGCUCAACGGAUAAAAGCUACCCUGGGGAUAACAGGCUUAUCUCCCCCAAGAGUUCACAUCGACGGGGAGGUUUGGCACCUCGAUGUCGGCUCGUCGCAUCCUGGGGCUGUAGUCGGUCCCAAGGGUUGGGCUGUUCGCCCAUUAAAGCGGCACGCGAGCUGGGUUCAGAACGUCGUGAGACAGUUCGGUCCCUAUCCGUCGCGGGCGUAGGAAAUUUGAGAGGAUCUGCUCCUAGUACGAGAGGACCAGAGUGGACUUACCGCUGGUGUACCAGUUGUUCUGCCAAGAGCAUCGCUGGGUAGCUAUGUAGGGAAGGGAUAAACGCUGAAAGCAUCUAAGUGUGAAGCCCACCUCAAGAUGAGAUUUCCCAUGAUUUUAUAUCAGUAAGAGCCCUGAGAGAUGAUCAGGUUGAUAGGUUAGAAGUGGAAGUGUGGUGACACAUGUAGCGGACUAAUACUAAUAGCUCGAGGACUUAUCCAA
rnacentral:rRNA from 1 species